AGGGGAAGCUGGAGCCCCGAGGAGACCUCACAUAAAUCAGGCAGGAGAGAUGUUACCUAAAUGGAAUAAUUUCCCCCCAGAACUCAUACUGAAACCCUAAUUAAUAUUGAAAAGUCUGUGUUCUGCCAUGUCUUCAAAUCCAUGGAAUUUGGGUGAGAUAUUCCAGAAUUCCAGAAAUUCCAUAACAUUUUGUCUGCCUUUGUAUCCCUUGAUGGCUGCAGAGUGCAUUCUUUGAACCCUGGAGAGAGCCAAGGAGACACUCACGUGAUUUUGAAUUAGUUUGAAGUUCUCCAUUUGGUCCCUAAAGAAAAGCAGAACUCUCAUUUCUCCUGACAUUGCACCAAAAUUAAAGGAAGCUUAGACAAUGUCUAAACUUAAGCUGUGCUUCAAUCCUGAGUCUAUUCAGAACUUCUUUUUUUUACCAUUGUUUUAUUUUUUAAAACCUGAUUCAGAGCUGUUCCAGCCUGCUGUUAUUUGCCACUUCUU